rnacentral:sRNA from 1 species
AAAUAGCCCCGAUAGUAGUGGAAAUCCUUUUUUGUUUUUCCUUUAAAAACAAAAAAGAUUACUUCACUAAACUUUUAUUAACAUAGGAGUUCAGUGAAUUACAUUUGAAGCGAAUAGCGGGAAAUAGC